rnacentral:rRNA from 1 species
AACGAACGUUAGCGGCGCGCCUAACACAUGCAAGUCGCACGAGAAAGGGAGCAAUCCCCGGUACAGUGGCGCACGGGUGAGUAACACGUAGGUAAUCUGCCUCCGAGUGGUGGAUAACCUUCCGAAAGGAGGGCUAAUACAGCAUGAGACCACGACCACGAGAGUGGAUGGGGUCAAAGCCGGCCUCUAUACAUAAGCUGGCGCUUGGAGAUGAGCCUGCGGCCCAUCAGCUAGUUGGUAGGGUAAUGGCCUACCAAGGCAAAGACGGGUAGCUGGUCUGAGAGGAUGAUCAGCCACACUGGAACUGAGACACGGUCCAGACUCCUACGGGAGGCAGCAGUGGGGAAUCUUGCGCAAUGGGCGAAAGCCUGACGCAGCGACGCCGCGUGGGUGACGAAGGCCUACGGGUUGUAAAGCUCUUUCGGUGGGGAGAAAUUGCAUAGGCUAAUACCCUGUGUAGAUGACGGUACCUGGAGAAGAAGCACCGGCUAACU